CAUUAGCUCAAUUGGUAGAGCAGUGGACUCUUAAUCCAUUUGUUGUAGGUUCAAGUCCCACAUGAC
rnacentral:tRNA from 1 species